UUCGCCCUUAGAGUUUGAUCCUGGCUCAGGAUGAACGCUAGCGGCAGGCCUAAUACAUGCAAGUCGAACGGUAACAUUGGUGCUUGCACCAGAUGACGAGUGGCGCACGGGUGCGUAACGCGUAUGCAAUCUACCUUUUACUAGAGUAUAGCCCAGAGAAAUUUGGAUUAAUCCUCUAUAAUAUCUUUUAAUUUCAUGAUUUUAAGAUUAAAGUUUUAACGGUAAAAGAUGAGCAUGCGUCCUAUUAGUUUGUAGGUGAGGUAACGGCUCACCUAGACUACGAUAGGUAGGGGCCCUGAGAGGGGGAUCCCCCACACUGGUACUGAGACACGGACCAGACUCCUACGGGAGGCAGCAGUAAGGAAUAUUGGACAAUGGACGAAAGUCUGAUCCAGCCAUGCCGCGUGCAGGAUGAAAGCCCUACGGGUUGUAAACUGCUUUUAUACAGGAAGAAACACUCCGACGUGUCGGAGCUUGACGGUACUGUAAGAAUAAGGAUCGGCUAACUCCGUGCCAGCAGCCGCGGUAAUACGGAGGAUCCAAGCGUUAUCCGGAAUCAUUGGGUUUAAAGGGUCCGCAGGCUGUUUUUUAAGUCAGAGGUGAAAUCCUACAGCUCAACUGUAGAACUGCCUUUGAUACUGAAAAACUUGAGUUAUUGUGAAGUGGUUAGAAUGUGUGGUGUAGCGGUGAAAUGCAUAGAUAUCACACAGAAUACCGAUUGCGAAGGCAGAUCACUAACAAUAUACUGACGCUCAUGGACGAAAGCGUGGGGAGCGAACAGGAUUAGAUACCCUGGUAGUCCACGCCGUAAACGAUGGAUACUAGCUGUUCGUCUAACAUUGGUUAGAUGAGUGGCUAAGCGAAAGUGAUA
rnacentral:rRNA from 1 species